rnacentral:rRNA from 1 species
AGCUCCAAUAGCGUUUAUUGAUGUUGUUGCAGUUAUCUAUAAAAAGCUCGUAGUUGGAUUUCUGGUGGGAGCGGCCGGUCCGCCGUAAGGUGUGUGCUUGGUUGCCUCCUGUCAUCCUUGUGGGAACUGCUCUGGCAUUAAGUUGUCGGGGUUAGGGAACACAUCGUUUACUGUGAAAAAAAAUGGAGUGUUUAAAGCAGGCUUAUGCCGUUGAAUACAUUAGCAUGGAAUAAUAAGAUAGGACUUUGGCGUCUAUUUUGUUGGUUUGCACACCAAGGUAAUGAUUAAUAGGGAUAGUUGGGGGUAUUCGUAUUUAAUUGUCAGAGGUGAAAUUCUUGGAUUUAUGAAAGGCGGACUUCUGCGAAAGCAUUUACCAAAGAUGUAUUCA